rnacentral:siRNA from 1 species
UCACUUUCUGCCAACUAUAUGCCU